rnacentral:RNase_P_RNA from 1 species
CAGGUUGGCCGGAUGGACGCGCGACUUCGGUCGCGAGGAAAGUCCGCACACCACAGGGCAGCACGCCGGGUAACGCCCGGAAGCGUGUAAACGCUUGGAACAGGGCCACAGAAAACAGACCGCUCCCUUCGGGGAGUAAGGGUGAAAAGGUGGUGUAAGAGACCACCGGCAGGCGCCGUAAUGCGUCUGGCCAGGCAACCCCCGUGCGGUGCAAGGUCAAGCAGGAGAGAAGCCUUCGGGCGGGAAGCACCCGUUUCCCAACCAUCUCCGGGUAGACCGCUGGAGCUUUGGGGUAACCCUCAGCCUAGAUAGAUGUCCAUCCAGGCGGGAUUCCCGCUGGACAGGAUGCGGCUUAUAGGCCAACCUGAUUU